rnacentral:rRNA from 1 species
GACGAACGCUGGCGGCGUGCUUAACACAUGCAAGUCGGACGCGCCUGCUCUUUUGGGGUGGGUGAGUGGCGAACGGGUGAGUAACACGUGGGUGACCUGCCCUCUGCUUCGGGAUAAGCCUGGGAAACUGGGUCUAAUACCGGAUAGGACCGUGUGCUGCAUGGUGUGCGGUGGAAAGAUGCCUCUUUUGGGGUUUUGGCGGGGGAUGGGCCUGCGGCUUAUCAGCUUGUUGGUGGGGUGAUGGCUUACCAAGGCUUUGACGGGUAGCCGGCCUGAGAGGGCGACCGGCCCCACUGGGACGAAGACACGGCCCAGACUCCUACGGGAGGCAGCAGUGGGGAAUAUUGCGCAAUGGGCGGAAGCCUGACGCAGCGACGCCGCGUGGGGGAUGACGGCCUUCGGGUUGUAAACCUCUGUUAAGUGGGAAAAAGACUCGUCUUUAAUAGAGGCGAGGGAUGAUUGUACCAUUAGAGAAAGCACUGGCUAACUUCGUGCCAGCAGCCGCAGUAACAC